CUCGCCAGGGGAAUACGAGCCCCAGCUUAAAACCCAAAGGACUUGGCGGUGCUUUAGACCCCCCUAGAGGAGCCUGUUCUAGAAUCGAUGAUCCCCGUUCCACCUCACCCUCCCUUGCCUAUUCCGUCUAUAUACCGCCGUCGUCAGCCUACCCUGUGAAGGUUAAAUAGUAAGCAAAAUUGGCAUAACCCCAAAACGUCAGGUCAAGGUGUAGCUGAUGGGAGGGGAAGUAAUGGGCUACAUUUACUGUCCCAGUAAAUACGGAUUUUACCCUGAAAAAGUACCUGAAGGAGGAUUUAGCAGUAAGGGGGGAGUACGAGAGCCCCCCUGAAAACGGCCCUGAAGCGCGCACACACCGCCCGUCACUCUCCCCGAUGGAAAAUAUUUACACAUAAUUAAUAUCAACUCGCCACAAAGGGGAGGCAAGUCGUAACAUGGUAAGCGUACCGGAAGGUGCGCUUGGAGAAA
rnacentral:rRNA from 1 species